rnacentral:lncRNA from 1 species
AUAAUACACGGACACCCCCCAGAAUGUUUUCAGACGAGCUAGACCAGGUUAAAAGAAGUAACCGUGGCAGCAUUAAAAUGGAGAAAAAUCACAAAGGAACACAAGAAGGAGGAGAAAGCCGUUUGUCUUCAGGAGAGGAGAGUGAUUUAUAAAGAGAAACUGCUGGCCUUUCUCAAACCUGCUGGAAACCCAGCUCCUUCCCUUCUCCUGGGAGGAAGAGGAGGAGGAAACCAAACCGGGCAGGCACCAGCCUGGAGUCGGGGACUGCUCUGCAGAGCCCGUGCUGUUUCUGUUCUCAAGGAGACUGUAUUCUAAGCAAGGCCCUCAGAAGGUCCAGGGAAACCUGGGAAAAAUAUUCCAUGGCCAUUCAGCCAGAUUCCGCCAUGGUGGCCAGGAGCCAUUUGCAGUGUGUCUGCCACCGUUAUUACGGCUGCGAUGAACACGCAGCAACGAGAGGGCUGGUUUUGGAUCUCACAGGUGAAUCCCAGCCUCACCUGUCCAGGCACCCCACAGCUCAGAAACACCAGACCCGCCCUUCACCGCUCCACAAGGAUGUUGUCGC